rnacentral:rRNA from 1 species
AUUGAACGCUGGCGGCAGGCUUAACACAUGCAAGUCGAGCGGGGGAAGGUAGCUUGCUACCGGACCUAGCGGCGGACGGGUGAGUAAUGCUUAGGAAUCUGCCUAUUAGUGGGGGACAACAUCUCGAAAGGGAUGCUAAUACCGCAUACGUCCUACGGGAGAAAGCAGGGGAUCUUCGGACCUUGCGCUAAUAGAUGAGCCUAAGUCGGAUUAGCUAGUUGGUGGGGUAAAGGCCUACCAAGGCGACGAUCUGUAGCGGGUCUGAGAGGAUGAUCCGCCACACUGGGACUGAGACACGGCCCAGACUCCUACGGGAGGCAGCAGUGGGGAAUAUUGGACAAUGGGGGGAACCCUGAUCCAGCCAUGCCGCGUGUGUGAAGAAGGCCUUAUGGUUGUAAAGCACUUUAAGCGAGGAGGAGGCUACUUUAGUUAAUACCUAGAGAUAGUGGACGUUACUCGCAGAAUAAGCACCGGCUAACUCUGUGCCAGCAGCCGCGGUAAUACAGAGGGUGCGAGCGUUAAUCGGAUUUACUGGGCGUAAAGCGUGCGUAGGCGGCUUAUUAAGUCGGAUGUGAAAUCCCCGAGCUUAACUUGGGAAUUGCAUUCGAUACUGGUGAGCUAGAGUAUGGGAGAGGAUGGUAGAAUUCCAGGUGUAGCGGUGAAAUGCGUAGAGAUCUGGAGGAAUACCGAUGGCGAAGCAGCCAUCUGGCCUAAUACUGACGCUGAGGUACGAAAGCAUGGGGAGCAAACAGGAUUAGAUACCCUGGUAGUCCAUGCCGUAAACGAUGUCUACUAGCCGUUG